GUGGGGAAUAUUGGACAAUGGGCGAAAGCCUGAUCCAGCCAUGCCGCGUGUGUGAAGAAGGUCUUCGGAUUGUAAAGCACUUUAAGUUGGGAGGAAGGGUAGUAACCUAAUACGUUGCUACUUUGACGUUACCGACAGAAUAAGCACCGGCUAACUUCGUGCCAGCAGCCGCGGUAAUACGAAGGGUGCAAGCGUUAAUCGGAAUUACUGGGCGUAAAGCGCGCGUAGGUGGUUCAGUAAGUUGGAAGUGAAAUCCCCGGGCUCAACCUGGGAACUGCGUUCAAAACUGCUGAGCUAGAGUACGGUAGAGGGUGGUGGAAUUUCCUGUGUAGCGGUGAAAUGCGUAGAUAUAGGAAGGAACACCAGUGGCGAAGGCGACCACCUGGACUGAUACUGACACUGAGGUGCGAAAGCGUGGGGAGCAAACAGGAUUAGAAACCCUAGUAGUCC
rnacentral:rRNA from 1 species